rnacentral:rRNA from 1 species
AACUCGGCUGCAUGAAGCUGGAAUCGCUAGUAAUCGCGGAUCAGAAUGCCGCGGUGAAUACGUUCCCGGGUCUUGUACACACCGCCCGUCACACCAUGGGAGUUGGGAAUGCCCGAAGUCAGUGGCCCAACCGUAAGGGGGGAGCUGCCGAAGGCAGGCUCGAUGACUAGGGUGAAGUCGUAACAAGGUAGC